UUUUUUUAACAUCAAAUCAUAACUUUAUUAAUGUGAACCAAAGAUUACAUUGUUAAAACAUAAGGGUAUGAACACAAUCAAAUAGAUUUGUAACGAAAAAGCAAAAAAGUUCAAGCGCCGCAAUCCGAAUGAUAUGCUUAGUUGCUUUCGUCGUAUCCGUCAAUCUUGUGUGACUCUCUAGCUUUGGAAACAUCUUCUUUUUAUCGAUGCACCAUCUUUUACGCUUUCGAAAGUCAAAGUCUGCGAUCCAUCCGUUACAUCGCAAGACCCUAGAUUUGGGAACUCUCCUGAAGAAAGAGAUAUGAAGUUUUGUGAUUGUAGCGUAAACCCAUACUUGUUGUUGAUCUGAUCUUCUGAUUCGCAUCAUAAUCGCAUCUCCAUCCUCCGUUGUGGGUUGAUUCCAUGGCGGUUUUCGUGGUGGUCGUUGUCUCAUUAACAAAUCCAAAGAGAUUUGUAUCAACCAUCGAAAAGCCACGAAACAGUGGUCUUCGGAGACUACCAUAAAACUAACAAAAUAUGUUAGUUUCGAUAAAAACUCGGGUAAUACAUACCGGAUAUGCCUCGGCGACUUCGCCGGAAAAGACCUUCACCACGGAGGACCGGAUGAGACAUGGUAUAUAGACUUGAGACUCCCGCAAAACGGUUCCUUUUUCAUCGACCAGAGGUAUUACCGUCCCAUGAGACGGGUUCGCUUCUGCCUUCGGAUCUGAUAUCCACUUGACAUGAAAGUGGUGAAUGUUUGUUGCCGGUGUAAGCACGAACACGGAUAAAGUCACCAUCCGAAGGAAAACCAUAGAUCGGAAGAGAUACCGGUGGAAGAAAGUGUCGCCCAUCGAAAGAAACAGAGACAGAAAGUAGAACAAAACUAAAUAAAUAGAAAGGAACCCGACCGACGCCGAAAAGUCCAGCGCUGGCCGGAGAAAAUGUCUAACGGCGGCGGUUACUUGUAUAAAGUUGCGAUUGUCUUUCUAAUCGCCCUCUGCGAGAUAGUUUAUUUUGAUUUGGUACCAAUAAUUUCAUCCUCCAAAGUAAGCAACCAAUCAAAAGAUUAGUUUUAAUUAUUAUUUGGUUGGAAAAACAAACGUGGUAGCAAUACUUAUGAUAUGAACCGAACCAAACUUAACAAAGUUCGAAUCAAGUUAAUUUGGCACAUUUUUCAUAACUGAAGACACUGAAAUUUUGAGUCUAGCCGGACUAAAGUUUCCGAUCUCACAUCCACCCAAAAAAUGAAUUUUCAUGGUAACAUUCAAAAACCAACAUAAUUAAGUGACAAAUACCACCAUAACCAUUACUCACUCCGUUUCGUUUUAGUUGUCGUUUAAGGUUUUCUCACACAAAUUAAGGAAAUCAUUAAAUUUUCUGUUUUACCAUUUAUUAAUAUAUCUUAUAAAUUUUUUCAUUGGCCAAAACAUUAAAACAAUAGGGAUAAUACUGGAAUUUUUACCAAACAUUUGCAUUGAAAACCUAAAACGGCAACUAUUACGAAACAAAAUUUAAGUCCUAAAACGACAACUAAAACGAAACGGAGGGAGUAUUUAUUCUCUCUAUGUUUGAUCCGAUAUUUUUUUCUUUUCCACCAUUGGUACCAAAAUAGGUUUAUAGACGAACCGACAAACAAAAUGUAAAACUCAACCAAUCUAAUUGUUUGCCACAUAAAGUUUUUGCCCCUAAAAUAAACAGAACAAGAAAGAAGUUGUGAUCUGGAAAAUUCACACCCCUAACGAAUGAGACAAUGUCCACUUGUGACUGCAUGAGAAUGCGAGAGACCGGCCAAUGAGAUUAAUUUGGGACUUACGUUUGGGGUGACUUACUGAUGCGGACAUCCAAAUCAAAUCAAAUCAGGAGCAUACCAAACCAACCGAUACAUGUAUCAAAGCGGUAGAUAUAUGAAACAUUUUGGAGGAUUCUUGCCCAAAUAGAGUCCUAAUCAAGUACAAGGCCUAAGAUUAAUUAUUCACCUGCAAAUUAAUCCUAAGAAGACUAAUAAUGGUUCAAGAAGAAUCAAUGAAGAGUGAGCCGAAUCACUAUAUUGUGGGAAUUUGACUGUUGCAUUCUUUUUCCCUUAUCUAGGUUUUGUCCCAAUGGGUUUACCUAUAAAGGUUUUUAACGAGGCAACAUCAAGUCAUCAAGGAAUCAUAUACCAAGCAAUUGAUUCGAAGAUGUUACAAGUACAUAUAGUUGAUGUACUUGCUGACGGACCGGCUGAACUACUCACUGAACUACUUGUUGAAUUACCCUCUCAAGUACUGCUCCAAAUGAAGCCAAACAAGGAAAUCUUCCUUAUUCUACACUUGGACGCACCUCAAAGCUACAUAUGGAAACCAGGAUAAUAUCUAGGCCACACAAGACAUGUACCACAUGAACUUUGGUACACCUUACCACACAAGAACCCGCAGAGUUACUACUUGCCAUAUAUGGAGCCGAAGAAGAUCAACUUGCAAUAACUCUUUUCUUCUUUGUUUAUGCGCUUGUGUGAGAAUCUUGAGACCCUCCAGAAGCUUCCAGGACGUCACAACUAUCCUUCCCAAGUUGACAAGAUACAAGGCACAUCUUACUUGUCUUACUUGGACCGAUUCUACACUUAAUGGUCCAACGGCCAUAUUUCCAUUAAAUGGUGCGAUUUGUUUAUUUUUUUUAGAGAAUUAGAAUAUUGUAGAUGAGCCUAUAUAAACUCAUUAUUUCGUUCAUUUUAAAACACCCUUGAUCAUUUUAAAGUAAUAAAAACGUUUCUUCUUGUCAAAGUUUGAGUCUUUGUCAUUUUGUUCUUCAGUUCUUUGUCAGUGAGUCACUUAGUACUUUAGAAAUCUGCGGAUUAAACUUGUUGAGUGAUUCAACAUCUUUCAUUCGUUCAUUGAUCGCCUAAGUCGAUUAUCCCACUGAUUGAGCAAGUCAAUCACCACAUCUAUCCAUCGUACCAUCCCUGAUUCACGAAAGAGUGCUUCAGAGCCAGCUCGUGAAUUCCACCCUUCUGCGUGAAAAGCUUUGAAUCUCUUGAUCAUUAAGUGAUCUAAAAGUUGGAGUGAUUCCAAUCUUGUAUCACUUACUUCUAUAGGCAAGAGACCAUCAUCACAAUAUCAUAUAGUCGAGCUGACUUACUUUUGGUACACUGCACAUUUUCCAAUGGAUGACAUGUUGGUUGAUGGCUAAGCCGGUGAGCAACUCAACCUUUAACAUUUAAUGUGAUACAUUUAAUAUUCAGUGGCUGCUAGACUUUAUGAUAUGAUAACUCUCUGGUUUCAACUUAUGCCUGAAGGUGCUCUUCGCAGCUCUUUCAUGUCACUGGGGUACCAAUCUAGCCCUAGGCCAUUUUUGAUUGGAUUGGCUUUGGUGAUGGAUAGCCUAAGUCAAAAUUCACUCUAAUAAUAUUUAUAACAAAUACUUUUUCGAUUAUUUCAACAAAUCUAUGAUACAACAAAUUGUGAUCACCAGCAUAUUCAAAAUACUUUUAUUUUCAUGGCAUUAAUCUUUUACAAAUAGCAUAACAAAUUUGGAAUCAUGGAACGACCUCGACAUUUUUUGUUGAGCUCAAUGGCCAACGAACAAUGAACUAAUUAUCAAUCCCUAUGUGAUCAACUUUGUAUAGGGAUUUAUGAAGCCUAGGAGUGAUAAAGACUUCAAGAGAAGUGGCUUUGUGAUUGACCAAUCCAUUGCUCUCUGUCAUGUCCACAUCUUGGCUCGAUGGUUUUGCCAAGUCAAAGCUGUGCAAAAACCUAGCUAGGAGAUAGUGCACCAUCUUCAUACCUAGAGGGAUCGCGGGGCAUGACCUUCGUCCCAAACCGAACGGAAAAAACUUGUAACUCUGCCCACCAACAUCCACUUCUCUAUUAGAUGUCAAGAAUCUCUCUGGCUCGAACUGUUCGGGGAUGGACCAAACACUUGGAUCCCUAUGAAUCUUCCAUGCACUCACCAUCAAUUGUGUCCCUGAAUAGUUAAAUGAACUAUUUAUGUUAGAGAUGAUAACAUUCAUUAUGAUCAUAUUUGUUGAACUUUAAUCUCAGAUUAAUUGGUAAUGUACGUAGAAAAAGUAACAUGAAUUUUUUUAAGUACUAAGAAGUUUUGGGGCUAUGCUCGUACAUCCUUCAGGCCAUGGACUAGAGCAUUGAAUAUGGUUCUCUCCCAAAUGCUACUCAAACCAGCGAUUUGUAGGCUUUGCCUCAAAUACUUUACCAAUUGAGCUAUUGGCACUUGGUAACUUAUGAAAUUUACUAGUUUUAUGUGAGAUUCAAAACAAAAAAAAAAAAAUUAGGUUAAUUAAGUCAUUUAAUCACUUUGAUUACCUGCAGGCACAUGACAGUUGCAACAUGCAAUGUCGAAAUCUUCCAUCACAUCUCUGUAAGCAAUGAGAGGGACUGGUGGAUACAAGCGAAAUGUCUCCUUGACAAUGGCUUGGAGGUAAACCAAAUCUUUGAUAUCUAUCUCUUCCACAACUCUCUCCUUUCCGAUUUUACUGUCAAGCUCCUCCUGAGCUUUCCUCAAUACAUGCGGAUUGUUCAACAGCAAAGAUACAGCCCAAACCAGAACCACAAUGGCCGUCUCGCUCCCAGCCAAUACCAAGUUCUUGCACCCAAAAAAGUUCACAAUUAAUAUAAAUUACAUGAUUAUAAACAUUUAUGACUACUCCAACCCGGAAUUUGAGGAUAUUAUAGUUUAUAUAGGUCUUACGAGGCAGAUGGCUUUGAUUUUCGUGUGAGUAUCGCUCAAACCCGGAAUCUUGUCUUGUCCCAAUGUCUCAAUGAGUAUAUCCAAGUAGUCAUUUACACUCCUACCGUGAUCACUCCUCUUGUUCUUGUGUUCUUCAACCCAACGUUCAGUAAUUUUAUCCAACUCUUUAGCCGUUCUCUUCAUUCCUCUCUUGAUCUUCCACUCCAACAAACCUAGAGCCGGUGCCACAUCAGACAACAAAAAUAGUGAGAAGUAAUCUAAAAACUCGCGAAUCAGCUUCCCGCAUCUCCUAGCUUCUUUCACUUCGCAGUUAGGGUAUUCACCAAAGUAUCUCUUCCCCGCGACCAUCAUCAAUGAGAUGUUCGCGGUUAGAUCUAUGAACUCUUGCUUCAUGUCCACCAAGACUCCUUCUUUAGGCUUACCUCUUUGCUCCCACCUACCGUAUAAAUUUCCAAAUGCCAAGUCAGCCUCACGGGCUCUACUAAACAUGAGCAUAUCAAUUCCCGAGGUCGAAAAAAGCUCGGAUGCUGCGAUCUUCCGCAUCUCUCUCCAGUAAAGACCAUAAGGACUAAAGGUCAAGAACGAGUCGUUGUAGCCAAGAAUCUUAGACGCAGUAAGUUCUGGCCGUUCUAGUAGCUUGUCGUGGACCGUGUAGAUCUCUUUGGCGACCUCUUUGCUGUUUAUGACCAUGACGUUGAGAGAGCCAAGCUUUGCCAUGAACACCGGUCCAUAGACGUCAGCCAUUGCCCCAAACGUAACGUGAGUUGGGUUUACGGUGUCAAAUAGAUGUAAAUGGCCGAGCAAUGGCCACGCUCCGGGGAUCAUAGGUGCCGUAUUCGUCCUGUUCUUGGGACGAAGCAGAGACUUUAUUAAGCAUGAAACAGAGAAAAUAAAGAGAGCAGAGAGAAGAAAAAGCUGAGUUAGAUCCAUGUAUGGCUGAUUUGUUUUUUGUUUGAGGUACUUGUUGCAAGCCUUUAUUAUAUAUAUAUAUAAUAAGUUUUCACCAACUCCUACAUUAUUUUAUAAAUAUUUUGUUUUUUGAAUAAUUUUGCGAAAUGGAUGUUUUUCUUAAACAUAAUUGUGAUCCUGGACUCCUGGUACGGGUACAUUCACUAUAAUUGUGAGAAUACGCCUAUUUUGCUAUACACGUCUCAAUGCAUCUCUCUUAUAUCCCUACCCAAACAUCUUAUUAAGUAAAAAUUGUCAAUAAGAAAAAAAAUUAGUUCCUCCUUUCCUUUUGUAUGAAGAUAAAAGUAUACUCAAGGAAAAAAACUUUCUCUCUAUCAUUUUCUUAAACUUUUACUCCUUCUCUUUUUCCUCUAAAUCUUUUUAAUUGGACUUGUUACGACGACAACAUAUUUAUUUUUAAAAAUUUUAAUCUGAAUCUAAAAAGUUCAAUUUUAUGGAUAUGUAGCUCUUUAUUUUACUUUAUCUGAAUACGAUGGUGUACAAAAUAAUAUACAAAGUCGGUGUACGAUAAUAAUGUAAAAAAUGGUUUACAAGAUCCAAGAUGGUGUGCAAACGACAGUUACAGUGGUAUAUCACUAUAUGAUAUGGUUGUGUACGACGAUAAUGUAAAAGGUGAUAUAAAGACGGUUGUGUAUGAUACAUUGGUGUACAUAAAUGAUGUAAGAAGUAGUAUACGGGAUAUGACGGUAUACAAUAUGGUGUAAAAAGUAUUAUUUUACAAAUCUCAAAAAUAUUUACCAAUAUUGUAACCAUUAACCUCAAAAUAUAAUUGAAAUCAUAAAAGAAAAAUUAUUAUUGAACAAUAUAAAAUAUUCCGUUUACAUACAAAUUAUUGCAAAAUGCUUAAUUGAAUACGCAUUCCGUCAAUCCAAACAAACAAAUUAAUCCUACUUAGUGUAACUUAUUAACACUAGUCUGAAUUCUAAUUGGUUUAAUAAAAAGACAAGAAAUAACUAAAUAUAACAACUCAAAGAUGACUUAUUGAUAAAUUAAAAGCUUACUAAAUUUCAAAAUUCCCAAGAACCCCAAAAUAAAUAAAAACUCUUUUAUACCGUAUGCUGCGUGGAAAUAAUCAUCCUCGAAACUAAUUAUGCCUAUAAAAUUUCUUCAAAUCCUUAAAAAUUUCCGACUAAACAAAUUUGUUUUGACGUAAAAACAAUAACAUAUGUAAACGCCGAGAUAAGUAUAAUUGUUGUCUCGUGAGUGAAGAGAAUCUAAGAAGGCAAAUCUUGUAAAGUGUUGCUUACUUGUUUCCUGGUCUGUUCUUUAUCCUUCUCUAAUGAUAAGUUCCAAACCUUGUAAAUUAGGACGCCGAAUGAAACUUUUCAGUUUUUAAGCUUAGAGUAUUGUAAAGAAAAACUUUCAGUUUCUUCUUGCUCCGCAUCUCUUUUUUUUUUUUUUGCUAAAUAUGUUAAUAUCAUUAUAAUGAAAAAUAGGCUUUACAAAAGAGUAGAACCUACGAAAGAGUAGCCGAGGCAAAAAGAAUAAAAACAAGGCUACAAUAGAAUUAGGAAAGAUUUGGGAUGCUUAUCGAAUCCAAAGAAUAAAAACAAGGCUACAAUAAAAACAAGGCUAUCCGCAUCUCUCUGUUUCAAGUUUUUGUUCCGAGAAUGUUUGUGAAAGUUCUUGAAAAACUAGUACAUAUUUUCCUUACACUUCCACACCAUAAUACAUACAAACUUAUAUAGAGAGUAAGCUAACUACUCUCUAAUUUUACUAACAACUACACAACCACUCCCACUAGUCUUAGUUUUUACUAGACUUGAACAACUCCAAUAGCUUAAGCAGACUAAUAAGUCUAUCUUGUUUAGCUUCACUGAUUUCCUUACUUGGUUUGAAUACAAAAUAAGCAUUACUCAACAUAGAGUCAUCAUAGACUUCUUAUAUGGGAUGAUUGGCGGUUGAGCAACUGAAAGCGUUGAGAAUAUAUGAGCGCUUCAUUGAAUCAAUUUGCAUGGUUUAUGAAUUAUGACAAUACAUGUUUCCAACGCUCAACGCAUCACAUGGUUCAACUGUUUAGUAUAUAGACAAAAAAUCUCUCUUUAGAAUCACAACCCGUAUCAACAGUGUUUUUAGGCCACGAACCGACGAUCUUUACAGAUAUAUUUGUAUAUAUAUUGCUAUUAUUAGUAGAUAAAAAUAUGUUAUGUUAUUUUUAUAUUAAACUAGAUUAGGACCCGUCCGAUAUACGAAUUUAAAUUUUUUAAUUCAAUUAAAUUUAAUAAAAAGAUGAGUGUAGAGUCAAGAUGGCUAACACUCUCGGGGGUAACAGUUUUGAUGCGCAACAAGGACGUUGCGGUCUAUUAGUGGGCUAAAUUGUAACAUCCCGAUUUCAAGAAAUAUGGUGGUGCAUGAAGAGAUGUUUAAAAUAAUAUAUUUGGUCACCUAUGUCACCAAAAAGCACUUAUCUUUUCAGUCAAACAUAUGGAGAGAACUCUAUAGAUAAGCGUGUUUGAGGUGGAACAAUUUCAGGAUGGAUGACCUUCCAGGCAGUGAUUUUUGGAACUGUGUGAGUGAAGACAAAACACUGAAAAAGAUCAUGUGGUGAUUUGUAGGGUCGGUAAACAAGUCUUUAAAGCCUCACGGAUAUAGCGUACUAACUGUCGGAAGAUGGUUGGCGCACAGACCGAGAGUGUAACAUCCCGAACCCAGAAUGGGGGGGGGGGGUGGUGUCGAUCGACACCAGAUGGUGUCGCUCGACACCAAUAAUUUCUGGUUUGACCGGUUCGCUUUAAAUCACUAGUUUAGUCAGGAACUGAUUGGGAAAAACCCUAGGUCUCAUUUUAAAAACGACACAUCCUCCUCUCUCUCCAUUCUUUGAGUGUUUGGUCGUUCCAGAGAAGAGAGAAAGAGAGAGUUGGCCUUGUGGUUGAUCUAAAGAGGAAAGAGAAUGGUUUGAGUGAGUUAAGGAGAGAAGAAAAGCUUGUUUUUGGUGUUAGCAAGAGGAGGAGGAGUAGAUCAGCGGCUGUGGGUUGAGAGAAGGUUGUUGUGGUACUGGUUGGUGCUGUUCUUUGUCUCAAAUCAGUCCUAAAUCGAGGUGAGUGCGUGACCAUGGCUUACCUAAGCAAGUUGGGGAAGUUUUGAUGCUUUGUUUGAGUGUAUAGGUUUAUUGAGAAUGAUAUGAGGUGUGAUUGUUGGUUGAUAUGAUCCGGUAUGCUUGUACUCGUGCCUUGGAUCGUGAGAGACUCGACAUAGGCAGCAGAGAGCCGAGCUGGGAGAGGCGAAGUGCAUUUUCCAGGUCUGCUGCGGCGUCGGUGUCGAUCGACACCAAGGGUGUCGGUCGACACCACUCGGAUAUCUGGUGACGAUCGACACUAGAAGGGUGUCGGUCGACACCAGGUCUGGCUGGUAGUUUUUCAGCUUCCUAAAAUUGCCUGGUUUGAUUUGUUGAUUGGUUUUGUUUUGCUGUCUUGAUUUUUCUAUCUUGCUUAUGUGUAUAGCCGGUUGAUGGGAGGAUCACAUCACUAAGUAUUUGUGAUAAUACUUAUGCAUCUCUUUCUUUAUGGUGCAGAUAAAGAAAAAGUGUGACGUGGAAUCAUGACAAGGAAGAGCGGAUGAUCUAGGAACUCUUUUUGUUGCGUUUUAUUAUGUUAUUGGAACCCGUUUUAGAGUUAUGCUAGGAUUGCUGGUUAUUUCUAGAUAUAUUGGUUGGAUUGUUUAUUUUUAAGAAAUUGCAAUUUGACUUGCUGGUUGCUGUUGUUCUAUUGGUUGAUUUAAUUAAGUAUUUAUGAGGAUAUUUAAUUAUGUUUAAAAAAAAACCGGGUCGGGGCUUCACAAUUGGUAUCAGAGCCUUUACGCUCCUAGGACGGUUUAGAAAAUUUAAUUGGAACUGAUUGAAUUUUCGUGAUGUGUGAUGUUAAAACGGUGGUUGUUUGUGCUGGAAAAAAUUGAUUAUGAGUAGUUGGUCAAUUUGAAUGAGCAUGGAGUCUUAGAAUCCUCCUCUUCGAGCCUUCAAUGAGAUUCCACGGUAAGUUGUUUUGUAUUUUUGGUAUGAUGUCUUGGUGUAUUUAGUUUAUGCUUGUGAAAGUGCAAUUUGAUGUCGGAGCUAGAGGUUAUGGAUGGGGACGUGGUCGAACCCGCAUGGAUCUGGUAGCGGGUGAGGGUGUGGCACAGAGUGCUACAGUUGAGCAGGUCGUGGAUUUGCAUGUAGAUCAGGAGGGGUCUGAGGGUUUGGCCAAAAAAUGACAAAAGUCAUGUAGCAAAUAUAUAAUGUUCAGUCUGAUGUUAUUUUUUAAAUUUUUUUUUAGUCUUAAGUUAUUUAGUGUAUAUUCUAUAAUUCCUUAUAAGAUUUUCUCUUUUUGUUGAGGAUAUUUCAUAUUAAUAAGUAAAGUUACAUGACAUGGAUAUAGACGGUCUCAUAUUUUCUCUUCUUUUAUUGUCACAAUUUUAUUAUGACGUCAAACUUUUCUAAACAAAAUCAUAUAUUUACGUAUCUCAUACUAUAUGUUUACAUAUUAUACAUAUAUAUCGCUCAUAUAUUUACGUAACUAUAUAGUUUUAUCUUUUUUUAUUGUCAUAGUUUUGUUUGCAUCUUCCCCACAUUGAAUUUAUAAGAUGUAACACACUAUUAUGAUGGAUGUAAAUAACUUAUUAAAAUUCAAUAAUACAACAUAUGAAUAUUUAUGACUUCAUAACUUAUAAUAAGCAAAAAAUUAUAUAAUUUUAUAAAUAGGCCAAUAUUUAUAUUAGAUGAUUUAAUAAUUAGUAUAACAUAACUACAAUUAAUGUUUUAUAUUGCGUAUUAUGCUAAUAAAUAUAUAUUUAAAAAUAAUUAUGCUGUAUUUUUUAAAAUAUACUCCCUCCGUUUCGUUUUAGUUGUCGUUUAAGGUUUUCUCACACAAAUUAAGAAAACCAUUAAAUUUUAUGUUUUACCCUUUAUUAAGAUAUUUUAUAAUUUUUUCAUUGGUCAAAACAUUAAAACAGUAGAGAUACAACUGAAAUUUUUACAAAACAUUUGCAUUGAAAACCUAAAACAACAACUAUUAUGAAACAAAAUUUAAAUCCUAAAACGACAACUAAACUAAAACGGAGGGAGUAUAUGUUAAUAGAAUUUUAGUUAACCUUACAAAAAUAAAAUAAAAAUAUUAAGAAUGAUAAUCUCGACCGGCAAUCCGUGCAACGCACGGGUUCAUAUCUAGUAUAAUAUAUACUAGAGCUAAUGCAUUUCAAAAAUAAUUCAAAAAUAUCUAAGUUAAUCUGUUUAUAUAAUGAAAAAUUGACAAUGAUGGGUUAGUCAAAUAGAUUUUUUAUUCGGUUUAAUUCGGCAGAAUUUUAGAUAAUUGAGUAAACCAAAUACAUCGAACCGAUAAACCGGAUGCAUUACAUCUUCAGAGAAGGUAAUUUAACUAGAGCUAAUAUUUUACCAUAAGAAGGAGACCAAGGCUAGUUUGCCACUGAACCGGAAAUGAGAAUCACGACUGCCACUUUAGAGUCUGAAUGCCAUCCAUAGAGUGGAUAAUACACUUAUACCCUUAAUGAUUUAUCUGAUUUAAUUAAAAACAAAAACAAAAUUGAAAUCGAGUUGAGGGAGAGAAAUCUCAAACUCGAUCCAAUCUCAACAUUUUCCAUCUCUGUCAUCUCUCCCCUGACACGCUGAAGAUUCCCCGGAGCUGCUGAGAGCUCGAUUAUUUGGCCGUCAUCUGUUACUUGUUAGAUUUGCUUCUCCUUGUUCACUUUCUUGAUUUUGUAUCUAAGAAUUCGUCUCUCUGCCUCCUCCGAUCUCUCUCCCUCUCGCCGUGGAUUGAGAUGGAGAGCUUACCAACGACGGUCUCUGCUAAAUCAGACCGGCGAGGUAGGCCUUCUAAGUCUCAGAACACCUCCAAGCCCUCUCUUAUCUUAGCCUUCUUCUCCUGUCUAGCUUGGCUCUGGCCGGUACGUCCCUUUUUUCUCCAUUUCCGACUGAUUUCAAUUCCUGUGAGUAUUCAAAUCUCAUUGAUUCUAGAUUUGUUCUUCUGUCGGAAUUGAAUUGUUUAGAGUUUUGAAGAUCGUGAUGGUGAUGGAACAUUGUUUUCAUAGUUGUUGAUAGAUCUCGAAGAUGCUAGAUUCUUCCGUUUUUCUACAUUUUUCCACAGAUUUGUUGCCAGUCUAGAUUUCUAUAAUUUCAGAUAUAAUUGUAUUGCAAUGUGUAUUUUGGGUUUGAGUUCCAUUACAGUAAUCUACCAAUCCCAAGCUCAAAUUCGAUCACUGGAUCGGUAUCAAUUGGUUCUGAUCUCUAAUAUGGUGUUGUUCUUACCUUUAGGUUGUGGCAAGAUGCACAGUACAGAGCAGCACUCAAUACUGUGCUUAAGAAGAAUUAUGAUCAGGUUGGUCUUUCUUGUGCCUCUCUUGAAUAGAAGAAACCAGUAUUCAUUCAAACGGGUCAUUUUCACUAAUCAAAUGUUUUGUCUUUUCAUCAUGUUCUUGUGGAGUAUAUAGAGGCCUAAGGUUCUUACGGUGGAGGACAAGCUGCUAGCCCUUGGAUGCAAGUAAGUUGGAUUCUUUUCUCAUAACAUGUUUUUCUGUUCUGCAUGUACUAAUACACAAUGUAACUGUUUUAUAGAGAUCUUGAGAGGAGAAUUGUUGAAACUGGAAUGGAGUUGGCACAUGCAAAGAGUCAAGUAACGUUGAAUUGAAUGUUUGUAAAGCCGGUGGAUGGUUGGCGUCUCUUUGUGUAGCAGGGUUCAUAGCUAUUGCAGUGAGAAAAAUGGUGAAAACCAAGUAACGUUGGUUAGAUAGAGACUAGAUUUGGUUAUUAUAUUAUUGCUAACGACGUUGUACUUUGGGUAUUUUAAUUUCAAAGUAAAUAUAUGAUAUUGUGGAAGGUAAAUUAUUAUUACAACUUGGUUCGACUAGGUACAACUAAGAACAUAUUUGUAUACGUAUGUGUACUAUAAACAAAUAAUUUUAAAUAAUUAAAACUCGAAUUUAUCAUUUUCCUAAUCUAUAAUAUUAGUUCACUAGUUAAAUUACGUUCAUUGUAUUAUAAUUUUUAUUAAAUUAUAAAUUAAGAUUUCCCUUAUUUCCUUCGUACCACACAGAACGACUACUUCCAGAUGAAUGCAAUCGCGGAUUUUGUAUCCUAUUUCCGAUGGAGAGAAGUUGUUGUGAUCUUUGUGGAUGAUGAGUAUGGUAGGAACGGGAUAUCUGUAUUAGGCGAUGUUUUAGCAAAGAAACGUGCCAAGAUCUCAUACAAGGCUGGGUACAACUAGAUUGACCGACUAGUACAACUAAGACCAUAAAUAUAUUGGGUACAGCUAAAACUAUAACUAUAACCAUAUAUGUAUCAGUAUAUGUACUUGUCGUAUUCAUACAACUAUGUUCAACUGGGUAUAAUUAGGUUUUGACAAGGUACAACUAAGACCAUAAAUGUAUCCGUAUGUGUAUUCAACAAAUAAGAAAAACGAUAAAUUAGAGUUAACAAGGAUUCCAAAAACAUGUUGAACUAAAAAAGAAACAAUUUUAAAUAAAGAAAACUUGAAUUUAUCAUUUUCCUAGUGCAUACUAUUGUUUUCAUAUGAAACACUCCUUAUAGUACAAGGAACACUUUGUAGGUGAUCACUUCUUUUGAUGCAAAAUAGGUGAAAAUUAUGAUUUCGUACAAAUUGUAUUAUGAAAACUUCUUAGAUGAUAAUUAAUAGUGUAACAACAUAUGUCCAACUUAAAAUUACUAAUUUUUAUUAAAGUCCAACUGAAAAUACGCAAAAAUCGCCAAAGUCCAACUAUGAACAUGUGAGUACAACUGGACAACUAAUACAACUAUGUUUAAAACAAAACAAUUUUUUAUUAAUAUCAUGCUGUCUUUGGUCCACUUUAUCACACGUGUGAUGAUUUAAAAAUAAUAUCCCGCCGCCAAAAAUGAUGCUUACGUGGAUCAUAUUUAAUUUUUUUUUUUUUUUGCUUCUUUGAAAUUUAUUAAAAAUUGUUUUUUAAAAUGUUAUUUUUAAUUGUCUCAGUUGUACCAAAGUGAUCUAGUUGUACUUUCUUAUAAGUAAUCCAUACAUAUAGUUGUACCUAAAUAGACUAGUUGUACCUACAAAACCAGUUGAACAUAAAUAUAAUCUAAAUAUUUUUUUGGUUUACAAAAAUACGAAGUCAUAUGUUCUUAAUCCACAACACAACAAAAUACAAAAAUGAAAUACAAAAACAUAAGUCAUGUGCAAUCUUAAUCCACAAGUACGUGCAGACUUGACUUGUGCGCUUUCUUUCCAGUUCUUGAUCUAAAUAUACCAGUUGUACCUAAAUAAACGAUUGCAUACAAUAUGAUACAUAUAAAUGAAAAGCUUAAUCGAAAACAUAAGUCAUGUGUUGCCAUGGGCAUUAGUCACUAACAUAAUCAUAUGAUUUAAUCUUUUUGCAUCUACCCAAAAUCAAGCAAAAAGUAUUACACAAAAUCAAGCAAAAGAGAUGGCAACAUAUCAGUUUCCCAUUCCACAACACAAACCUUGGCACAGUAGGAUCUCUCAACACCAAAAGGAGCUAUAUAAGAUUACAAUGUUUUUUAUUCCAGCCUCUUCAAAUGUGACAUUUAAAACUAACUACUCAUGGAUUUAAGCAGAAUUUGGCAUAAGUUGGUAAAACUCAAGACUGAUGAUACACUGACCUUAAGGCCACUUCGGCGAACACCGUAUCUUACUUUCUUCUCGAAACAUCUAGAAUUCCUCUUCUUCCGAAACCUAUCCAAGGAUUGUGCCCGUUGCGGAAGGUUACAGCGGUUCUGGUAUUCUACAACAUGCUAAAAAUAACAACAAAAUGACAAAGGUGGAAUCGAGAUGAUUCUGCUGAGCUAGUUCCAUCACCUGCGGACCAGGAGCAAGCUCAGUAGAACCACUUAAUGUUCUGUAACAUCCCUACAGCUUAUUCCACCACCCAAAAUGCUAUCAAGAUCAGAGCAAGAUGUAGUAAUGCGCGGCAAAGACUCCUCCUCGUGAAGCAUAUCCCAAGCAUUCUUUGCUCCUUUGUUUGUUAGAAAGUUCAAAAAGAGAAUCCUUCAGUGAAUCAUUUAAGAAGAAAAGCCCAAUGGAGCUCCAAGGAGUUACCAUUUAUGAGAGAACGGCUUCCAUUGCAAGAACUGGAUCCUGAGGAUUGAUUAGCCAGCCUCAAAAUCUCAAAUGCUUCCUCCUCUGUGAUAUUUACAUCUGCUCACACACCAAGUAUAACAAAGAUGACACAUAUUUCCACAAAAAACACACACACAAAUACCUUUGAUCAUCAGCUUGACGAUCUACCUUUGAUCUCUUCUUCUCUGCACACAUGAAGCAGAUACAAUGUCGUGGGGUCACUAUCAUUCAAUCCAAGUCUAACAAGGUUCAAGUAGCAAUCACUACAAUAAAACUUAUACUCAAAGUCUAAAACAAGCCUGAUUUGAUCAAGUAAGCAUCAUAAUCUGAAACAUAUCUAGUUGCCCAGUGAAAUUAAGCUAUCAUGAGCAAUCUGGUUUUACCUCCGGAAGCAUAUACUACUUCAUAUCCAUCUCUCCUUGUUUUCUUUUCACUUCCCCUGAUAUCCUCCUCAUCGUCGUCGACAUCAUCAUCUUCAACAUCGAACUCAUACAACUCUCUACUCCGGACGGCCUUCUUACCCGACCCGGAACCUGGACCCGAAUGAUAGUUGUGGUACGGAACAACACUAGUCUGCCCUGAGACGUGGUGCCUGGGUCCCAAUGGCCCGUCUAGGAUACUCCGAACCGGAAGCAGGAAGUAAAACUCUUUGUCACCAAUCUGCAAAAGGUCUUGUGAAUCGAGCUUGACGUUAGGAUUCCCAGGGAGAUGGAGGACACCUUCAACGAAGCAGCCAUUUUUGCCAAGGACCUCGAGAGAGAAGCGUCGUCUAGUGAAGUCAUAGAAGAUCCGAGCGUGGUUACGCGAAAUGUUCAUCCCGCCGCCGAGAGAUGAGAGAUCAACGUCGACGGUCGCUUUCUUAGAAUUCCGGCCGAGUAUAAUGGAGUAAGACUGCAUAUAGUAUUCGAAAUCCUCACCUUGAAGCUUCGCAAAUCCAACCUCCACAUCGCUUCCGCCUCCAACAGCCGUAGCCAUGACGUGAAAUUCGCCGAUCAAAAAGGAUCAAGACCGUUAGAUUCGAAUCCUCUGUUCCAAUAGCAAGGGAAAAAAUGAGAAAUUAGGAAUUUGAUUUUUGGGUUUUUGGUCUUUUCAUAAUUUUCUGAUUUAAAUUGCUUUAUUUUUAAUUCUCUCAGAAAUAAAAAUUAGAUGAAUGUCAUUCCAGCAUUUUUUUUUUCCAAAAGUGGCUUUCCAGCCAUUGUUUCCAUAAGAAGUGUAUUAAAGUUAAUAACCCUAACUUAAAAUUCGUAAGCUAAAUGUAAGAAAAUCCUUCGUGUCUGAUUUUCAGGUUUGGCUUUCUUCUCCUGCAAAACAGAUCCCAACAAUUCAAAGGUUCGUCUUCUCCUUCUCUUCCACACUCUCUAUCUGCUUCACUUUUGCUCUUUCUUCGCCAAGUAAUUUGCUUUCGACUUCUAAAUUCUCUCAAGUUACUAUUUUUCUCUUCUUUUCUCUCAAAUUUCUUUCUACCAAAAACUGAAAAUGUUUGGGUUUUUGCAAAGUUUUGAUCUUUUCAUGAAAUUGCAAUACUAGAUUGUUAAUCCGAUUUCUGGGUACUCACAUUUCGAAGUUCAAUUGUUCAUUUUUCCUCUUUUUUUUUUUUGGGGUAAAUUUGGUUAGGGUUUGUUUGGUUUUUUUUCAAUUUCUCUCUUGUUUCUCUUGCUCAUGUGGUAAAGAGAUUGAUGAAUCGAGUUGUUUAGUAGCUAUUGUAGUAAAUAUCUCUUGAUUGUUGGAGAAUCGAAAUUUUACUGUGAUAUUUGUUUAGGUAGCAGAGUUCAAUGUUGUAUCAUGUAGAAACUCUAAUUUCAUAGUGUUUGCUUUAGUCUCAGGAGUGGCACUGAACCGAUUGUUGUUUAUGUAUGAUUGUGGUUAUUGAUGGGAGAAACGUUGUUGUGUGCAGAAAAUGAGUAGUUUGGUGGAGCGGCUUCGUUUACGAUCAGAUAGGAAACCGGUUUAUAACCUAGAUGAUUCUGAUGAUGACGACUUCGUUCCUAAAAAAGAUCGGACCUUUGAGCAAGUUGAGGCUAUUGUCAGAACUGAUGCGGUUUGUUUUCUCCUCUUGUGCUUAUUGUUGAGCUUUUACUACUUUAUGUUGUCUAUUUUUAAUUAGGUUGUUACUCUGAAUUUUGUAGAAAGAAAAUGCCUGCCAGGCUUGUGGAGAAAGUGCAAAUCUUGUAAGCUGCAAUACAUGUACGUAUGCGUUCCAUGCUAAAUGCUUAGUUCCGCCUCUUAAAGACGCGUCUGUGGAAAAUUGGAGAUGCCCUGAAUGCGUAAGAUUAAGUUAUUGUCCACAAUUAUGUUUUAGGUGGUUGUAGGUUUCAUUUUCUUACAUGGAAGUAUUUUUUUUAUUUAUUUAUUUGCAGGUUAGUCCUCUUAAUGAGAUAGAUAAGAUAUUGGACUGUGAAAUGCGUCCUACAAAAUCUAGUGAACAAGGUUCCUCCGAUGCGGCACCAAAGCCUAUUUUUGUGAAACAGUAUCUCGUGAAGUGGAAGGGAUUAUCAUACCUUCACUGCUCUUGGUAGUUACUGCAUGUUUUUUUUUUCUUGUCUAUAUGUCUGGACAUGCUAAUUAUCAAUGUUACCUGUCUGUGAACAUUAUAACACAUGAUUUAUUUCCUUUUACCAAUCAUAGGGUGCCUGAGAAGGAGUUCCAGAAGGCUUAUAAGUCAAAUCAUCGUUUAAAAACCAGGGUGAACAAUUUUCACCGUCAAAUGGAAUCUGUCAAUAACAGUGAAGAUGAUUUUGUUGCCAUUCGUCCUGAGUGGACAACUGUUGAUCGGAUUCUUGCCUGCAGGUCUAGUGAAUGGAAUUAAUUCCUUUAUUUAUAUAUCUGCCAACUUUUUUUUAUACUUCUUUUCACCAUAGUCCAUUCUCUAAUUAACACGUAUCUUUGAUAGAGUGCUGCUUUAUCAAAAUACAUUUAGAUGUUUUUGCUUCGAAAUUUACUCUCUAUAAGAAAGAAGCGUUUAUGAAGUUUUUGGGUGUCUAUGAAACAUGAUAAAUGACCUGCUUACCUUUCUUUUUCUUAGUUGUUUCAUUAAUCAAGAUUUGUGACAGUUGCAUUGUUUUCUUUUAUGAUAUAGAGAGGAAGAUGGUGAGCUGGAAUAUCUUGUGAAAUAUAAAGAGCUAUCUUAUGAUGAAUGUUAUUGGGAGUCAGAAUCAGACAUCUCUACCUUCCAGAAUGAAAUUCAAAGGUUCAAGGAUGUAAAUUCUAGAACUCGCAGGGGUAAAGAUGUUGACCAUAAAAGAAAUCCCAGAGACUUUCAACAUUUUGAUCAUACUCCUGAAUUCCUCAAAGGUAUUUGGAUCACUUUAAAUCUUAUACUAUAAAUGUUUCCCAUCUUUGGUACUUAUAGACGCUAUGAUUUAUUUGUUUUCUGCUAUCGAAGGCUUGUUGCAUCCAUACCAGCUUGAGGGACUUAAUUUUUUGCGGUUCUCGUGGUCAAAACAGACGCAUGUAAUCCUUGCUGAUGAAAUGGGACUAGGUAAUUUUUCAAUUGUCCCACCUGGGUGGUCACAUAGAUCUUUUCAUCUAUUGUGAUGGACCUUUGUUUUCUAUUUCUGUAAUGUUGUGGGAUUUUUCCUGUUACAGGCAAAACAAUUCAAAGCAUUGCCCUUUUAGCUUCACUUUUUGAGGAGAACCUCAUUCCGCAUUUGGUAAUUGCUCCUCUAUCGACUCUGCGUAACUGGGAGAGAGAGUUUGCCACAUGGGCCCCACAGAUGAAUGUGGUAUGUAUGCAAUUAUACACGCAAUGAUUUGUGCCAUUAGUAUGUUUUUGUUGUUUGUUAAUGAAUUGGUCUUCGUGGUCAUAUGACGGGUAGGUUAUGUAUUUUGGCACUUCGCAAGCUCGAGCAGUUAUCAGAGAACAUGAGUUUUACUUUUCGAAAGAUAAAAAAAAAAUCAAGAAAAAGAAAUCUGGACAAAUCAGUAGCGAAAGCAAGCAAAAAAGAAUCAAGUUUGACGUCCUCCUCACAUCGUAUGAGAUGAUCAACCUAGAUACAGCAGUUCUGAAACCAAUUAAGUGGGAGUGCAUGGUAACUCUUAUUCCCUAACAAGGCAUUACUUUCUCUUAGUCGCCUCUCUUUCUCUCUUACAUGUAGCUUACUAACAAUUUUUUUUUGGUCAGAUUGUUGAUGAAGGUCAUCGACUGAAAAAUAAGGAUUCAAAGCUGUUCUCUUCAUUGACACAGUAUUUAAGUAAUCAUCGUAUUCUUCUGACAGGAACACCACUUCAGGUUCGUCAUUUGGUUUUGAUUCCUGAAGUUUAUACUUUCAAUAGUUGUAUCUGAGCAUAGUAGCUACGAUUUGCAAUGAGAGUUGUUAUAUAUUAUCCUGCAGUAAUGUCUUACCUGAUUAGUUGCAAUAUGUUACUGAUGAUUAUGUGGUGCCUUUACAGAACAACUUGGAUGAACUUUUCAUGCUCAUGCAUUUUCUUGAUGCGGGGAAGGUAGCGCAAGGAUAGCAAAGAUAAAUAAGUUCACAUACUUAACAGAAUUUUAUGUAGCUAACAUUUUAUUUGAUUGCACAAUACUUGCAGUUUGGAAGUUUGGAGGAGUUCCAGGAGGAGUUCAAAGAUAUUAAUCAAGAGGAACAGAUCUCAAGAUUGCACAAAAUGUUGGCUCCACAUUUGCUCAGAAGUAUUUACCAAAACUUUUUGUUCAUCCUUUUUGAUUUAUAUGUGUUUCAAAAGUUUGAUUGGAUGUAAUCUUUCAGAGUAAUAAUUUUAUGAUCUUAACUAUGCUGUGUCGUAUUUUGAUUGCUCUUGCAGGGGUAAAAAAAGACGUAAUGAAAGACAUGCCCCCCAAAAAGGAACUCAUUUUGCGUGUUGAUCUGAGCAGCCUGCAGAAAGAAUAUUACAAAGCUAUUUUUACCCGUAAUUAUCAAGUAUUGACUAAAAAGGGAGGUGCUCAAGUAAGUUCUUUUUAAUUUUUGUUUACUCUUUUUGGAUCCAUAUACCUCAUAGGUUGGGUAGAAAUCAGGUCCACUGUAAUCGUCUGGUAAUUGUAUUGGUCUAAUUCUGUUUCAGAUUUCCCUUAAUAACAUUAUGAUGGAAUUACGAAAAGUAUGCUGCCAUCCUUAUAUGCUGGAGGGUGUUGAGCCAGCUAUUCAUGACGCUAAUGAAGCCUUCAAGUAAUAUCUCAUUUUCCAAACUGGUUAUCUGAAUUUGUUUAUUACUACUUAUCAAAGUCGUCUGCUAACUUUUGCAUUAACAUUUUCUUAUAUGUAUCAAAGACAACUUUUGGAAUCUUGUGGAAAGCUGCAACUUCUAGAUAAAAUGAUGGUCAAACUGAAAGAGCAAGGACACAGAGUCCUAAUAUACACACAGUUUCAGCACAUGCUGGACUUACUUGAAGACUACUGUUCCUAUAAGGUAUUUGAACUUCUUAUAUGUACAGUCUGUCUCAGUAGAUUUUCAUUCUUGUUUUUUUUUGUUGACUACCAUUGACACCUAUAGAAUCAACUCUACCAUUUUCUAGUGGUAGAGUCCUUCAGCACAAUUAUGGAAUGACAAGCAUGUACUGAAACUGAGAGUAUAUGGGCACUGUGUCCAACUGAAAGAGAAAAGACACAAAGUUUCCUUAUAAAUACAGUACAAAUCACAAGUUCAGCCAUCUUAUAUGUACAGUAAUCUUCCAAUAGGUCUAGCAUGUGCUGAAACUGUGUGUUGUGUGUACAAUGUUCUCAUAUACACACAGUUUCAGCACAUGCUGGAUCUACUUGAAGACUACUGUUCUUAUAAGGUACUGAACUUGUUAUCUGUACUGUGUAUAUAUGAGAUCUCUGUAUUCUUGCUCUUUUAGUUUGACACUUUGUUCUCAUAUACACUCGGUUUCAGCACAUGCUUGACUUACUUGCUUGUAUUUCCAUAAUUGCCCCUAAGGACUCUAUCUUGAAAAAGGCAGAGUUGAUUCUAUAGAUAGGUGCAAUUACUUUGUUAGACUUUUUGGCAUAACUUGCUCUGUUGGCAAUAUAACUUCUUUUUUAACAAAAAAAGAUUACUUUUUUUUGGUUUUUUUGAAAUGCCAUUAUCAUUACCAUUACUGACGCAUGCACUUGAGACUACUUGUUUUUUUCUCUUUCUAUCACAUUUUUUUUACAUGCAGUUAAGGAAAAUCCUCAUAUGAUUUGUGCUGUUCAUUUUUGUCUUUGUCAGAAAUGGAACUAUGAGCGAAUUGAUGGAAAGGUUGGCGGAGCUGAGCGGCAAAUACGCAUAGAUCGGUUCAAUGCCAAAAACUCUAACAAAUUUUGUUUUUUGCUCUCCACAAGAGCUGGUGGCUUAGGAAUAAAUCUUGCAACGGCUGAUACAGUAAUAAUUUAUGACAGGUUUGAAUCUCAGCUUCUCUUAGUGUCACCUGUAAGCUUUCCAUAGUUAUUGUGUC
rnacentral:lncRNA from 1 species